GAGUUUGAUCCUGGCUCAGAACGAACGCUGGCAGCGUGGAUUAGGCAUGCAAGUCGAACGAGAAUUCGUGUCUUCAAGCCGCAAGGUGAGAAGAUGCGGAGGAGAGUGGCGAAAGGGUGAGGAACACGUGGGCAAUCUAUCUCAAAGUUGAGUAUAACCCGUCGAAAGGUGGGCUAAUACUGAAUGUGAUCGUCCGCCGCAUGGCGGAUUGUUUAAAGGCAGGGACCCGCAAGGGCCUGUCGCUUUGAGAGGAGCCCGCGUCCUAUCAGCUUGUUGGUGAGGUGACGGCUCACCAAGGCGAUGACGGGUAGCUGGUCUGAGAGGAUGGUCAGCCACACUGGGACUGAGACACUGCCCAGACUCCUACGGGAGGCUGCAGUCGAGGAUCAUUUGCAAUGGGCGCAAGCCGGACAAUGCGACGCUGCGUGGAGGAUGAAGGCCUUCGGGUUGUAAACUCUUGUCAUUUGGGAACAAACUUGGGGAGGGGAUAAUCCUUUCCGGGGUGAUAGUACCAGAAGAGGAAGUCACGGCUAACUCUGUGCCAGCAGCCGCGGUGAUACAGAGGUGGCAAGCGUUGUUCGGAUUUACUGGGCGUAAAGGGUGCGUAGGUAGUUUUGCGUGUCAGAUGUGAAAGCUCAUCGCUCAACGAUGAAAGUGCAUUUGAAACUGCAGGACUGGAGUACGGGGGAGGAGAGUGGAAUUCUUGGUGUAGCGGUGAAAUGCGUAGAUAUCAAGAAGAACACCGGUGGCGAAGGCGACUCUCUAUCCCGAUACUGACGCUGAGGCACGAAAGCUGGGGGAGCAAACAGGAUUAGAUACCCUGGUAGUCCCAGCCUUAAACGGUGUACACUUGGUGUGGGAGGAUUUGACCCCUUCUGUGCCGGAGCUAACGCGUUAAGUGUACCGCCUGGGGAGUACGGCCGCAAGGUUAAAACUCAAAGAAAUUGACGGGGGCCCGCACAAGCGGAGGAGCAUGUGGCUUAAUUCGAUGCAACGCGAAGAACCUUACCAAGGCUUGACAUGGGACAGACUGUACGAGAGAUCGUGCUUCUCCAGCAAUGGAGCUGUCCACACAGGUGCUGCAUGGCUGUCGUCAGCUCGUGUCGUGAGAUGUUGGGUUAAGUCCCGCAACGAGCGCAACCCUCGUUUCUAGUUGCCAUCAUUCAGUUGGGCCCUCUAGAGAGACUGCCGCGAAUAACGCGGAGGAAGGUGGGGACGACGUCAAGUCAUCAUGGCCCUUACGUCUUGGGCUACACACGUGCUACAAUGGAUGUUACAAAGGGUCGCAAGAGCGCAAGCUGGAGCCAAUCCCCAAAAGCAUCCUCAGUUCAGAUUGGGGUCUGCAACUCGACCCCAUGAAGGUGGAAUCGCUAGUAAUCGCGGAUCAGAACGCCGCGGUGAAUACGUUCCCGGGCCUUGUACACACCGCCCGUCAAGCCACGAAAGGAGAGAGCGCUCUAAGUCACUAAGGUAACCCGCAAGGGAGCCCAGUGCCUAAAGCGAGAUCUCUAAUUGGGGCUAAGUCGUAACAAGGUAGCCGUAUCGGAAGGUGCGGCUGGAUCACCUCCUUCCU
rnacentral:rRNA from 1 species